AAGUAAGGCUGGACGACGCGGCUGGAAAACGUGUCACAGUGUCGGCGUUUCAUACAGGUUUAUUGGCAAUGUUGCUGUGAUGAGGCGCAGUGGAUGAACUUAAACUGCUUCUGCGGCAGAUAUUCAAGCUGUUGCGAGGAAACUACCGCGAUCUCACCUCCACCUCCUCUCCGGUCGUGUACAUCAACUCCCGGAUGAAGUCCACAGCUGCCGCUUCUCCACACACGUGGAUUUCCUCGG